CUGUUUACCUGGCAGAGGAGAUAACAUGUCCACAAAGGUGGUCAUGCUAUUUUCCCAGGGUGAGGCUUAUCUGCUGUACUCUGGACAUGCAGCCUCCUGCAAUUUUCCCAAAUCUAGGGAAUCUCAGCUGCCUAAUUUUUGUAGUAAGGGAAUUGUGCUCAUGCUCUUCCAGU
rnacentral:snRNA from 1 species